ensembl:lncRNA
CGAAGCCGUAGGCCCGGUGAUUUGAUCUAUCGGAUUGGCCAGCGCAAUAUGCACACUAUUCAGCCACAGAUCUCCGGGUCCGCCGGAGAGCGGAGUUUGUCUUUUCAGACAAAUUAAAUGCCAACCGGUGCGCAGGGCUUCUGAAUCAUGUGCACCAAUUCUCAACAUCGCAACACAAAUAAACAGUAAAAGAAGCGCAAGCAUUCAUUUCGAUGAUCAACUAGGAAUGCCUUGAAGAUCGACCGGUUGGUGACCACCGAGCUAGAGAAAGAGUUCCCAGUUGUCUUGAAAGCACCAUAAAUGCCAGACUUUGAUUACAAAAUUUGCCCACGAAGGACCGCCGUGCCACCUUCCUGUUCAAGUGAGCACAGCACAACAAGGUGUUGGAGGAGUAUGUGGUUUUGGACAGUCCAGAGAUGGAGCUGAGCCCUGAGGGCCCAUCUACCGGUGGUUAAUCGCCCCUUGAUUCAUCAUCUCUCCAGCCUGGUUCAUCACCUCUCCGGCCCCUCUCCCCAACGCCCAGGCCCUUCUUACCAACACCCAACCAGGCGCACCUGCCAUGCAACUCCAACAACCUCCACCCCAUCUCCCCGAUCCAGCUCCAAUGGCUGGAAGAGGAAGACAGCUGAGGAUCCUUCGGACACUGACAUGACGCAGCGGGUGGAUGACUUAAAGAAACUGCACCUGGAGUUACAGAAACAGCAGCAGUGUCCAGCAAAGGCCGUCUACGAUGUCAUGGUGCCAUGGAUGAUGUCUCUUCCUGCUGAUCAACGUCUCCUGUUUGUCUCACCCCUAAACCUGUUGUGUGCUUUUUUCUUAUUCAUACGUUAUGGUGGUGGGGGGGGGUUGCAUGUUUUUUUUGUACUUAUUUCCUCAUUCAUAUGUUACUGUUUUUUCUCUUAUUUUCGACUUUCACCACACUUUUCAC